AGAGAAAAAGAAGAAGAAAAAAA
rnacentral:sRNA from 1 species